rnacentral:rRNA from 1 species
UGCAAGUCGAGCGAUCUUCUUCGGAAGAGAGCGGCGGACGGGUGAGUAACGCGUGGGUAACCUGCCCUGUACACACGGAUAACAUACCGAAAGGUAUGCUAAUACGGGAUGACAUAUGAAAGUCGCAUGGCUUUUAUAUCAAAGCUCCGGCGGUACAGGAUGGACCCGCGUCUGACUAGCUAGUUGGUAAGGUAAUGGCUUACCAAGGCGACGAUCAGUAGCCGACCUGAGAGGGUGAUCGGCCACACUGGAACUGAGACACGGUCCAGACUCCUACGGGAGGCAGCAGUGGGGAAUAUUGCACAAUGGGCGAAAGCCUGAUGCAGCAACGCCGCGUGAGCGAUGAAGGCCUUCGGGUCGUAAAGCUCUGUCCUCAAGGAAGAUAAUGACGGUACUUGAGGAGGAAGCCCCGGCUAACUACGUGCCAGCAGCCGCGGUAAUACGUAGGGGGCUAGCGUUAUCCGGAAUUACUGGGCGUAAAGGGUGCGUAGGCGGUCUUUCAUGCCAGAAGUGAAAGGCUACGGCUCAACCGUAGUAAGCUUUUGGAACUGUAGGACUUGAGUGCAGGAGAGGAGAGUAGAAUUCCUAGUGUAGCGGUGAAAUGCGUAGAUAUUAGGAGGAAUACCAGUAGCGAAGGCGGCUCUCUGGACUGUAACUGACGCUGA